UUCCGGUUGAUCCUGCCGGACCCCACUGCUAUCGGGAUGGGACUAAGACAUGCUAGUCGAGCGUCUCCAAGCUAUGGAAGAGACGCGGCACACAGCUCAGUAACACGUGGCUAACCUGCCCUUGGGACAAGGACAACCCCGGGAAACUGGGGCUAAUCCCUGAUAAGUGAGAACUCCUGGAAUGGAUUUUCGCUGAAAGGACGUGUAGACCAUGCGUCUAGGCGUCGCCCAAGGAGGGGGCCGCGACCGAUCAGGUUGUUGGUGAGGUAACGGCUCACCAAGCCUUUAACCGGUACGGGCCGUGAGAGCGGGAGCCCGGAGAUGGGCACUGAGACAAGGGCCCAGGCCCUACGGGGCGCAGCAGUCGCGAAAACUCCGCAAUACACGAAAGUGUGACGGGGCCAUCCCGAGUGCCAUCCGCUGAGGAUGGCUUUUCCCCAGUGUAUAAAGCUGGGGGAAUAAGGAGAGGGCAAGCCUGGUGUCAGCCGCCGCGGUAAUACCAGCUCUCCGAGUGGUGGGGAUGCUUAUUGGGCCUAAAGCAUUCGUAGCCUGCUUGGCAAGUCCUCCGUUAAAUCCAACGAUUCAAUCGUUGGGCUGCGGGGGAUACUGUCCAGCUAGGGGGCGGGAGAGGCCGACGGUAUCCCCGGGGUAGGGGUGAAAUCCUAUAAUCCCGGGAGGACCACCAGUGGCGAAGGCUGUCGGCUAGAACGCGCCCGACGGUGAGGGAUGAAAGCUGGGGGAGCGAACCGGAUUAGAUACCCGGGUAGUCCCAGCUGUAAACGAUGCAGGCUAGGUGUUGGCGCGGCUACGUGCCGCUCCAGUGCCGCAGGGAAGCCGUUAAGCCUGCCGCCUGGGAAGUACGGCCGCAAGGCUGAAGCUUAAAGGAAUUGGCGGGGGAGCACCACAAGGUGUGAAGCUUGCGGUUUAAUUGGAUUCAACGCCGGG
rnacentral:rRNA from 1 species